CCGGUACUAAUGGUCUACCAGCAUCCGGGCCUGGCUCGUGCCACGUGGUGGCACUUUAGCGCCGGUUCGUGCCGAACCGGUAGUAAAGGGGGGGCCUUUAGUCUCCACUCUUUAGUGCCGGUUGUAGAACCGGCACUAAAGGCCCUUACGAACGUGCGCUAAAGCCCGGUUCUGCACUAGUGUUAGUUAGUUGGUCAGGUAAAGGCUGGCCAAGCCAAUGAUGCUUAGCUGGUCUUUUUGGAUGAUUAGCCGCACCGGGACUGAGACACGGCCUGGACUCCCAUGGGAGGCAGCAGUGGGGAAUUUUGAACAAUGGGCGAAAGCCCGAUCCAGCAAUAUCUCGUGAGUGAAGAAGGUCAAUGCUGCUUGUAAAGCUCUUACGUCGAGUGCGCGAUCAUGACAGAACUCAAGGAAGAAGCCCCGGCUAACUCCAUGCUAGUAGCCGCCCUAAACAGGGGGCGGG
rnacentral:ncRNA from 1 species